CUCAUCGCCAGUUCGAAAACAAAUGCGAACAACUCGAGAACUAUGACUUAAAUGUGACGGAAAACACGAAGCAAGCUACAAGCAAACAUUUGUGCAGCUGCUAUGAGUAAACAGUUCAAAAAAAUGGAAAACACUCCUCUCAAAAAAUGUCUGA